rnacentral:lncRNA from 1 species
UUGAAGAAUACAACAUUCAAGAAAACAAACAAACAAAAAUUUGUGAAAUGUCAUUACUGUGGACGCAAAGGACACAAGAAACAGGAUUGUUUCUAUUUCAAAAGACAGACAAAUAUACAAAACAAUGCCCCAGAAAGGACAAGACAAGUCCAAACUAUUGCCCUGCAAGAGGGAACGACCUCGAAUUCUUCUUUUUCAGGAUUUGCGUUCAUGACAAGCGCAUACCAUUAUGAAAAAGACCACUCGACAAUUAAAUUCCUAUUAGAUUCAGGAGCGUCUGAUCACAUCACAAAUAGAGAUGAUCUCUUCACAUCGUUUGAAUGUUUAAAUCCUCCUUUAAAAAUUUCAGUAGCUAAAAACAAUACAUUUAUUUCAGCAACUAAAAGGGGAAACAUAAAUCUUAUCAGUCAAACAGGAGUGCAAGGAAUACUUACAAAUGUAUUGUUCUGUGCCGAAGUACCAUAUAAUUUAAUAUCGGUAUCAAAGAUGCAGCAAGCAGGAUUCACCAUAAUAUUUGAUGACAAAGGCACACAAAUUACAAAGGAAGGUAAAAUCAUCAUGAAAGGUAACCAGUUGGCAGACUUGUUGACAAAACCUUUACCAGUCGUGUCUUUUAUAAGAC